GUCGCCGCCGCCGCUACCGUGGCCGAUGGAGGGGCCGCCGCCGCACGCACGGGCGUCAGGCGCCCGCCGCCGGCGCCGUACGUGGGGCUCACCUGCAUGAACACAUUCAGCGUUAAGGUGCGUGCCGGGUCGAGUGUUGAACGUUGAAAAAAGCCUGGAUGCAAGGCUACACCCGGACAUGCGUUCGGCUCUUGGGAGGCUAAACGGCCGCUUGCAUUGUCACACAUACGCACCCGCGAGGCUUGCCAUCAACGCACACUCACCUGAAUUGCUUUCUUUGUCUUGCGUGCCCAUCCACCCGGUGGGUGCAUACAGGUCCACAACCCCACCGGUAGUCACGAGUCGUACGCCCGUCGCCUCGCCGCCGCCAUGGCACCAAUGCUGCUGCGCACCGCCAGCACCUCACUAGCCGGCGCCGACAUUCACGCCAACAGCAGCAACACCUGCGACGAAAACAGCAUUGGCAACGCCAGCGGCAGAAAUCAAGGUGACAGCGCACAAGUCGAUAGUCAGCCGCCGCCCCGUGUGCUGCCGGCCCGCCUGCCCCGGUCGCCCCGCCCCAGCAGCAGCAGUACCCACACGCCGUUCCAGGCUUACCAGCAGCACCGUCAGCAAAGCGUAGAGCUAGCGCUGGACCCCGCCACCACUCCUGCUGCGACUGCAGCUGCCUCCACCAGCAUC
rnacentral:lncRNA from 1 species